GUCUUUUUGAAAAUAAUAUAAAGUCUAAUCUGCCCGAUGAUAAUUUCAAUGGCUGCGGUAUCUUGACCGUACAAAGGUAGCAUAAUCAUUAGUUUUUUAAAUGGAAACUUGUAUGAAGGAUUGGACGAGAAUUUUACUGUCUCUUUAGUUUUUAUAAAAUUUUAUUUUUAAGUUAAAAAGCUUAAAUUUUUUAAAAAGACGAGAAGACCCUAUAGAUUUUUAUAAUAAAGUUUAUAAUAAAUUUUUAGGAUUUAUAUUUGUAUAAAUUUAUUUAUUUGAUUGGGGUGAUUUUUGAAUUUGUUAAACUUCUUUUUCUAAGAAACAUAAAUUUAUGAAUUUUUGAUCCUUGAAUUUAAGAUUAAAAGAUUAAAUUACCUUAGGGAUAACAGCGUAAUUUUCCUUGAGAGUUCAUAUUUGUAGGAGAGUUUGCGACCUCGAUGUUGAAUUAAAAUAAAUUUUUAAUGCAAAAGUAAAAAAUUAAGUCUGUCGCAUUAAGUCUGUCGCUUAAAAUAAAUUUUUAAUGCAAAAGUAAAAAAUUAAGUCUGUCGCAUUAAGUCUGUCGC
rnacentral:rRNA from 1 species